CUGUACAUAUUAAGGUAUGUUGUAACUCUAUUCAGCAAAUCCUUGAUUCACAAGAUUUGCAUCAGUCCUAGUGUAAUACAGGGUAAUUUCUCUCGUAACAAUUAAAGUUAAAAAAAGUAAAAAAAAAAUACACAAACUGGCAUACAAUCAUUGCCAAAUCGAAUAAAACUUAUGCACAUUAAGUUAGGCUUGUCUCUUCAACAUCUUCGGCAUCUUCGUAAGCGUCAUAGUCAUCAGUGGAUAUCGUAUCGUGUCUUACAUGAUGAGUCACUUUACUCAUCUGUACAUUGUUAUCGUACUUAAGAUCAGUAUUCUCAAACACUGUAUCACUAGAACUUUCGACUCUGUUAUCGGAGUAUUUAGAAGGGGUUUGUUCAUCAUCUGUUUCAUGAGCUGUACUACGGACGAUCGGCGUCUCAUAUAUAUUAAAAUCAGGUUGCUUCAAUGGCUUUGGAGUUGCCAAUGGACUGCGUUCUAACAUAAAAUUCUCUGUAUCCACCUGUGAACCGUAGUCUAUUUCUGCAACAGUUGCUUUAGCAGAAUUAUCAGGCACAACAUGUUCGUCUAAAACAGUGUCACUCGAUUCCUCAAUGAAACUACCUCCAUUUUUUCCAUUGCGUUUCGAUGACACAAAGUCAUCCCAUAGAAUUUUACGUACUUUUUCAUCUUGAAUUGUUCGAAUUCGAUCAGCCUCUUCCGCUCCUCCGAUCUUAUUCAACUUUUCGUUCUCAACAAAAGUUUUAACUUCUUUUGAAAAUUCAUCUACUCGUUGCAACAGUCGUUUUUUCUGCAACAGUUCACUACGCUCAAUAGCCUGUAGUCGUGCUUCACUGUCGGGUUUUAGAUUUAGUACUUCUAGCUGAAUUUGAUCACGAUAACCUUUAAUCUCAGACUCAGUGGCAGUUUUCAAAGUUAAGGGUUUGCUUUUAAUGGAGGACUUGGCUUGCAAUUCAGCUAUCGCGGAAACAUUUGAAAGGACAGUGGAUAAUGCGGAAAGAUCCCUCUUAAGAUCUGAUAUAAGAACAGUAUGACUAUCCAGAAAUUCUUGCUCUUGUACAAUUGCAUUUAACUCUCGUUCCCAUUGCUUCUUCCAAAUUGGAGUUACUUCCUCAAGAGAUCUUUCAAGGGUUUGAAUCCUUUUUUCCAAGUAUGCGCUUUCCUCAUUUAAUUGAGAUGUUUGAUCUAAGCCUGGUCGUACUUUGCGCAACAGCACAUCAGAACGCAUAAGUUCAAUCUGAUCAUUUACCUCAUCAAACUUUUCAACUACGUUUUUAACUUCCCGUUCAAUCCUGUCCUUGCUGCUUAAAACAAAUCCUCUUCCAAAUUGGAAAUCCAGAGAUCCCUUUUCAUUAAACGCAUUUAUCUCUUUCUUAAAAUCUUUUAUCUUUAACGGAAUCCUGGUGAAGAAAGCAGCCGAAAUCUGUUUAAGAGAAGCCAAUUCUAGUUGCAUAUUCUUAACUUGUUGGUAAAACUUGUGGUCGAUACUAUCAGGGACAGAAAAGUUAUUUGCCAAUUUUGAAUGGUCUUCUGACGAUUUGAGUGCAGCUGAGUCGUUGGUGUGAUUAGUUGAAAUAUUUUGCUCAAUAGCUUUCAAGCGCUCAAGAAUUUCUGUAAAAGCAGAAGAAGGACUUUCAUGAGUGGUAGUAUUAACAUGAUCAUCCAGAGUGUUUUGUGCAGAUGAAUGUUGAAUAGCAGAGACCUCACCGGAAUGGAAAUCUUCCCUCUUCUUGUUAGCAUCUUGCUCUUUAAACAUAAAAGAAACUAGUGACUUGUAUUUAAGGUCCGAGAGAUCUUCUAACAGAUAACUUAUCUUAGUAUCGGGGUCUUCAAUAUUUAGUUCAUAAGAAUCGCCACUAAAUGAAAUUUUAUAUACAUUACU